rnacentral:lncRNA from 1 species
CAUUUUUAAUCUUUUGUUGGACUUCUUCCCCUCACCUCUCUUUUCUUCAUUAUAACUUUAAUAAGUAUACUUUCCUCUCAAAGAAUCAGUACAUUUUUUAAAGGGGUAGUUUCAAUGUUUACUUUACUUUUAGGAUCCAUUUAUAGAGUUUUAAAAAUUAGUUCUUUAUUAUUAUUUUUUCAGUACCAGGGAUUGAACUCGGGGGCACUCAAACACUGAACCACUUCCUCAGCCCUAUUUUGUAUUCUUUUAUUUAGAGACAGAAUCGCACUAAGUUACAUACCACCUAGCUUUUGCUGAGGCUGGCUUUGAACUCACGAUCCUCGUGCCUCAGCCUCCCAAGCCACUGGGAUUACAGGCAUGUACCACCAUGCCCCACUAAUUUCUUCUUCUUUUUAAAUUUUAGAUUUGACCUUUAUUUUCAAAUGUAUUUACCCUAAUGGAAAUGCUGUCUCAUUCUCUGUUAUGUAGUUAUGGAUAUAAUAUACUUUAUAAAGGCUUGCACACAGGGUUGAGACCAAUGCUUCUCAAGCAGGACAUUUGCUAUUAUUCUUUUAACUGCUAUGACUUACUGCAGACUUGUGAGGAGUGCUACUUGCAUGAAGUGGGUAUAGGACAUUGAGCAUCCUAUUCUGGUAUUGAUAACAUUCUAUCAGGCCUUGACUGUACCACACAAUAGAGGAUUAUCCAAUUCAAAUAUCAGUAAUAACAAAGUCAAGUGGCUCUUGUACAGACCCACAGCAUUCAGUUUUAUUGAUAUUUGGUAUUCAGAUAAUAUUUGAUCAAUAUUAUAAGCCAUACUAAUGCCUGUUGUUUUCCUUAGUAAUUGAAUUCUAUUAGAUAAGAUAUGCGUUUUAGGGAUUUCAGUAGUUUUUUCAAUUUGUUCAGUACUUUACAACUCCCCCUAGAAGAUUCAAUUUCAUAUUAUCCAUUAAACCAUGCAGAAAUUUGAGUUUGCAUCCCUGAAUUGUAUGGCAAAUGGCUCUUGGUCUCCUCUCUUUUUACAAUUUUCAUUUCCCUGUAGAAGACAGUGCAUUUCCUUUGACAGUAGUGGAUCACUGAAUUAUUGUCACUAUGUUUCUCUAAGAUAUGCUAUUCACAGAAAGAUUUGGUCAUGCUAUCAUCAGAGGCAAUGGUUUUUGUGCUCCUAUGCUCCACAAACACUUGAGUUCACAUUAGUAUGAAAGGGGUUUAUUCCAAGUUGGCUUUGAGAAAGGUAAAAAUGAGUUUUCUGUCUCAAAUGUCCAUCGUGAGGGGACUCAGGAGCAUGGAACAAUUUUAUAAUAAGAGGAGAGGAGCAAAGUGGGACAAAAGGCAGAAUAUACACAUAUGCAG